rnacentral:rRNA from 1 species
GGUUAAGCGACUAAGCGUACACGGUGGAUGCCCUGGCAGUCAGAGGCGAUGAAGGACGUGCUAAUCUGCGAUAAGCGCCGGUAAGGUGAUAUGAACCGUUAUAACCGGCGAUUUCCGAAUGGGGAAACCCAGUGUGACUCGUCACACUAUCAUUAACUGAAUCCAUAGGUUAAUGAGGCGAACCGGGGGAACUGAAACAUCUAAGUACCCCGAGGAAAAGAAAUCAACCGAGAUUCCCCCAGUAGCGGCGAGCGAACGGGGAGGAGCCCAGAGCCUGAAUCAGCAUGUGUGUUAGUGGAAGCGUCUGGAAAGGCGCGCGAUACAGGGUGACAGCCCCGUACACAAAAGCGCAUGUGCUGUGAGCUCGAUGAGUAGGGCGGGACACGUGGUAUCCUGUCUGAAUAUGGGGGGACCAUCCUCCAAGGCUAAAUACUCCUGACUGACCGAUAGUGAACCAGUACCGUGAGGGAAAGGCGAAAAGAACCCCGGCGAGGGGAGUGAAAAAGAACCUGAAACCGUGUACGUACAAGCAGUGGGAGCACAGGUUUACCUGUGUGACUGCGUACCUUUUGUAUAAUGGGUCAGCGACUUAUAUUCUGUAGCAAGGUUAACCGUAUAGGGGAGCCGGAGGGAAACCGAGUCUUAACCGGGCGUUAAGUUGCAGGGUAUAGACCCGAAACCCGGUGAUCUAGCCAUGGGCAGGUUGAAGGUUGGGUAACACUAACUGGAGGACCGAACCGACUAAUGUUGAAAAAUUAGCGGAUGACCUGUGGCUGGGGGUGAAAGGCCAAUCAAACCGGGAGAUAGCUGGUUCUCCCCGAAAGCUAUUUAGGUAGCGCCUCGUGAAUUCAUCUCCGGGGGUAGAGCACUGUUUCGGCUAGGGGGCCAUCCCGGCUUACCAACCCGAUGCAAACUGCGAAUACCGGAGAAUGUUAUCACGGGAGACACACGGCGGGUGCUAACGUCCGUCGUGAAGAGGGAAACAACCCAGACCGCCAGCUAAGGUCCCAAAGUCAUGGUUAAGUGGGAAACGAUGUGGGAAGGCCCAGACAGCCAGGAUGUUGGCUUAGAAGCAGCCAUCAUUUAAAGAAAGCGUAAUAGCUCACUGGUCGAGUCGGCCUGCGCGGAAGAUGUAACGGGGCUAAACCAUGCACCGAAGCUGCGGCAGCGAACGUAUCACCCAAGACAACUUUACGGAGUUGACGAUUGACGGAGCGAAGCGACGUCAAAGCGUUCAUUAAAGUCGAGUUGGCUUAGGGAUACGUUCGUUGGGUAGGGGAGCGUUCUGUAAGCCUGUGAAGGUGUGUCGUGAGGCAUGCUGGAGGUAUCAGAAGUGCGAAUGCUGACAUAAGUAACGAUAAAGCGGGUGAAAAGCCCGCUCGCCGGAAGACCAAGGGUUCCUGUCCAACGUUAAUCGGGGCAGGGUGAGUCGACCCCUAAGGCGAGGCCGAAAGGCGUAGUCGAUGGGAAACGGGUUAAUAUUCCCGUACUUGGUGUUACUGCGAAGGGGGGACGGAGAAGGCUAUGUUGGCCGGGCGACGGUUGUCCCGGUUUAAGCGUGUAGGUGUGUGUUCCAGGUAAAUCCGGUUCACUUUAACACUGAGGCGUGACGACGAGGCACUACGGUGCUGAAGCAACAAAUGCCCUGCUUCCAGGAAAAGCCUCUAAGCAUCAGGUAACAUCAAAUCGUACCCCAAACCGACACAGGUGGUCAGGUAGAGAAUACCAAGGCGCUUGAGAGAACUCGGGUGAAGGAACUAGGCAAAAUGGUGCCGUAACUUCGGGAGAAGGCACGCUGACACGUAGGUGAAGUGAUUUACUCAUGGAGCUGAAGUCAGUCGAAGAUACCAGCUGGCUGCAACUGUUUAUUAAAAACACAGCACUGUGCAAACACGAAAGUGGACGUAUACGGUGUGACGCCUGCCCGGUGCCGGAAGGUUAAUUGAUGGGGUCAGCGCAAGCGAAGCUCCUGAUCGAAGCCCCGGUAAACGGCGGCCGUAACUAUAACGGUCCUAAGGUAGCGAAAUUCCUUGUCGGGUAAGUUCCGACCUGCACGAAUGGCGUAAUGAUGGCCAGGCUGUCUCCACCCGAGACUCAGUGAAAUUGAACUCGCUGUGAAGAUGCAGUGUACCCGCGGCAAGACGGAAAGACCCCGUGAACCUUUACUAUAGCUUGACACUGAACAUUGAGCCUUGAUGUGUAGGAUAGGUGGGAGGCUUUGAAGUGUGGACGCCAGUCUGCAUGGAGCCGACCUUGAAAUACCACCCUUUAAUGUUUGAUGUUCUAACGUGGACCCGUAAUCCGGGUUGCGGACAGUGUCUGGUGGGUAGUUUGACUGGGGCGGUCUCCUCCUAAAGAGUAACGGAGGAGCACGAAGGUUGGCUAAUCCUGGUCGGACAUCAGGAGGUUAGUGCAAUGGCAUAAGCCAGCUUGACUGCGAGCGUGACGGCGCGAGCAGGUGCGAAAGCAGGUCAUAGUGAUCCGGUGGUUCUGAAUGGAAGGGCCAUCGCUCAACGGAUAAAAGGUACUCCGGGGAUAACAGGCUGAUACCGCCCAAGAGUUCAUAUCGACGGCGGUGUUUGGCACCUCGAUGUCGGCUCAUCACAUCCUGGGGCUGAAGUAGGUCCCAAGGGUAUGGCUGUUCGCCAUUUAAAGUGGUACGCGAGCUGGGUUUAGAACGUCGUGAGACAGUUCGGUCCCUAUCUGCCGUGGGCGCUGGAGAACUGAGGGGGGCUGCUCCUAGUACGAGAGGACCGGAGUGGACGCAUCACUGGUGUUCGGGUUGUCAUGCCAAUGGCACUGCCCGGUAGCUAAAUGCGGAAGAGAUAAGUGCUGAAAGCAUCUAAGCACGAAACUUGCCCCGAGAUGAGUUCUCCCUGAGACUUAGAGUCUCCUGAAGGAACGUUGAAGACGACGACGUUGAUAGGCCGGGUGUGUAAGCGCAGCGAUGCGUUGAGCUAACCGGUACUAAUGAACCGUGAGGCUUAACCUU